AUUUGGGUUGUUUCUAGUUUGUGGCUAUUAUGAAUAAAUAUUGCAAUGAGCAUACUUGUCACAUGGUGCACAUGGGAACACAUUUUUUUUUUUUAAUGUGUAAAAAGGCUUUAUUUGCAGGGAAGCAGGAAUUUAAUCAAAGAGGCCAAAUCCCAUGUCAUCGUCUGAUUCUUCAGACUCCUCCUUCUUCUCAUCUUUCUUCUCCUCUGCUGCAGCAGCAGGCGCGGAGCCAGCAGCAGACGCUGCAGAGCCUGGGGCAGCAGAGACGGCUACAGCCCCACCGGCAGGUACAUUGGCAAGCUUGCCAAUACCCUGGGCAAUGACGUCUUCAAUGUUUUUUCCAUUCAGCUCACUAAUAAUCUUGUUGAGCCGGUCGUCGUCCACCUCGAUGCCCACGCUGUCCAAGAUCUUCUCGAUGUCCUUGGCACUGGGGGAGGAGUUACCCCCGAGGGCAGCCAGCAGCUCACCAGGAAAUAAUUGUACAUUGUCUUAAAAGAAACAACUUUUGGCUUCAUGAUCCUCUCUUUUGGCCCAAAGAUUGGUUGGACCAGGUUUGACGUCUACAUAGUAUACGAG
rnacentral:lncRNA from 1 species